AGAUUGAACGCUGGCGGCAUGCUUUACACAUGCAAGUCGAACGGCAGCGCGGGGCAACCUGGCGGCGAGUGGCGAACGGGUGAGUAAUAUAUCGGAACGUACCCAAGAGUGGGGGAUAACGUAGCGAAAGUUACGCUAAUACCGCAUACGAUCUAAGGAUGAAAGCAGGGGACCGCAAGGCCUUGUGCUCCUGGGAGCGGCCGAUAUCUGAUUAGCUAGUUGGUAGGGUAAAGCCUACCAAGGCUACGAUCAGUAGCUGGUCUGAGAGGACGACCAGCCACACGUGGAACUGAGACACGGUCCAGACUCCGUACGGGAGGCAGCAGGUGGGUAUUUGGACAAGUGGCGCAAGCCUGACUCCAGCAAGUCGCCGCGUGAGUGAAGGAGGUCGUUCGGUAGUAACGUCUUCGUUU
rnacentral:rRNA from 1 species